CCUGGAGUGUCCCUUAAGUAAAUGAGGUCUAUUUUAACAGUAAACAGUACCCUUGCCCCAGUAAAAAGGAUACAAGGGAUGUCUGCUGUUGUUGUUAAUGCUAUAUUUAUUGAUGCUGAGAAUUAGUUCAGAAUUGCCAAGGAGUCAAUAGCUGAGCUAUUUAGCUUUGUUGGCAAUCCUAGGUUACUUAGUGGCAAUUUCAAUGCCUCCCCCCGCCC